GAUGAACGCUGGCGGCGUGCCUAAUACAUGCAAGUCGAGCGAACGGACGAGAAGCUUGCUUCUCUGAUGUUAGCGGCGGACGGGUGAGAAACACGUGGAUAACCUACCUAUAAGACUGGGAUAACUUCGGGAAACCGGAGCUAAUACCGGAUAAUAUUUUGAACCGCAUGGUUCAAAAGUGAAAGACGGUCUUGCUGUCACUUAUAGAUGGAUCCGCGCUGCAUUAGCUAGUUGGUAAGGUAACGGCUUACCAAGGCAACGAUGCAUAGCCGACCUGAGAGGGUGAUCGGCCACACUGGAACUGAGACACGGUCCAGACUCCUACGGGAGGCAGCAGUAGGGAAUCUUCCGCAAUGGGCGAAAGCCUGACGGAGCAACGCCGCGUGAGCGAUGAAGGUCUUCGGAUCGUAAAACUCUGUUAUUAGGGAAGAACAUAUGUGUAAGUAACUGUGCACAUCUUGACGGUACCUAAUCAGAAAGCCACGGCUAACUACGUG
rnacentral:rRNA from 1 species